rnacentral:rRNA from 1 species
AGUGAACGCUGGCGGUAGGCCUAACACAUGCGAGUCGAACGGCAGCACAGUAAGAGCUUGCUCUUACGGGUGGCGAGUGGCGGACGGUUGAGGAAUACAUCGGAAUCUACUUUUUCGUGGGGGAUAACGUAGGGAAACUUACGCUAAUACCGCAUACGACCUACGGGUGAAAGCAGGGGAUCUUCGGACCUUGCGCGAUUGAAUGAGCCGAUGUCGGAUUAGCUAGUUGGCGGGGUAAAGGCCCACCAAGGCGACGAUCCGUAGCUGGUCUGAGAGGAUGAUCAGCCACACUGGAACUGAGACACGGUCCAGACUCCUACGGGAGGCAGCAGUGGGGAAUAUUGGACAAUGGGCGCAAGCCUGAUCCAGCCAUACCGCGUGGGUGAAGAAGGCCUUCGGGUUGUAAAGCCCUUUUGUUGGGAAAGAAAAGCAGCAGGUUAAUACCCCGCUGUUCUGACGGUACCCAAAGAAUAAGCACCGGCUAACUUCGUG